GGAGACUGCCGGUGACAAACCGGAGGAAGGUGGGGACGACGUCAAGUCAUCAUGGCCCUUACGAGUAGGGCUACACACGUGCUACAAUGGCGAGUACAAAGGGAUGCAAAGUGGUGACAGUAAGCGGACCCCUUAAAGCUCGUCGUAGUCCGGAUUGGAGUCUGCAACUCGACUCCAUGAAGUCGGAAUCGCUAGUAAUCGUAGGUCAGCAUACUACGGUGAAUACGUUCCCGGGCCUU
rnacentral:rRNA from 1 species